rnacentral:lncRNA from 1 species
CUCCUACGAUCUGCCUUUACUUCAACCUUGCCUCAUAGCUCCGCUGGCUCCUACAACGCUGCUUCUCACUUCUUCAUCUGUGUAAGCUCACCACUAUUCUCGUCUGUUUUCCUCUACGAAUCUGGCUGUAGGCUUCUGUUUAUUUUCUUCCUUAUUGCAACCACCUAAUUUAUCUCAUAAUUUCCCACUCCAACAGGUGUUCAUCCAUUGCUUAUUAACGGAUUGUUUCUACCUGCGAUCCAGAAGCACUUUGAUUGUUCGUCUAUCAUUUAUUCAGGUCAUUACCCACUCUCAGAAAUAUUAUCCUUGAUUUUUGCAAUUGUCUGCACACAUGCCAGUAGGUUUCUUUUUUCUUAUCUCUGUUCCAUGCAGUUGACUAAUUUAUCCUGUAAAUUCCUACUCUAACAGGUUUUUCAUCUAUCAUCACGUCCAGAAGCAAUUCUUGUGCCCGUCUCUCAUUUUAUUCGGGCCAUUCCACACCCAAAAAACCCAAAAAAAGAAGGGGAAAUUGUUUCAUAGUUUUUGCUCCUAUUUAUCAUUGUAAACUUGUUCAUCUCCAUACACACCUACUCUCUUCAGCCUAGUCACCCUCACCUUAGACAAGGAGAAGUCUGCCUUUAAGGUUCUUCUACUUGUUUCCCAUAAUUUAUCUUUCCACACCCAAGAUCUGUGCAUCCACAAAACAAACAAAACUCCCUUCCCUAGGUAUAUACACCCAAAAAACAAACGC